rnacentral:rRNA from 1 species
UACAGAGGGUGCGAGCGUUAAUCGGAUUUACUGGGCGUAAAGCGCGCGUAGGCGGCUCGGAAAGUCGGGCGUGAAAUGCCGGGGCUCAACCCCGGGACUGCGUCCGAUACUUCCGAGCUGGAGGUAGGUAGGGGAGAUCGGAAUUCCUGGUGUAGAGGUGAAAUUCGUAGAUAUCAAGCGGAACACCGGUGGCGAAGGCGGCCUUCUGGACAGUGACUGACGCUGAGACGCGAAAGCGUGGGGAGCAAACAGG